rnacentral:lncRNA from 1 species
UUGGGUUGUUUGGUGACAGGAGCAGCCAACAGGGCAGCUGUAUGAACCAAAUGGCAGAGAGAUGCCGUGUGACAAACCUUCCAAAUAACAUAAAAAAAUGGUUAAGAAAGCAAGUUGGGUUUCUCUUGGGAUUAACAACAAACAGGUAGUAGGCGUUACAGAAGAUGGAAACUGAAAGUUACCUCUUUGAAGUUGGGUUUUGGGUUUUGAAGCCAAGGGCACCAUAUGUCCCCAACCCAAGAGCUAAUACUCCUGAUUACGUGUUUCUAAAAAUGGGGAUUUAUCACAGAAAUCAACAGAAAUCUCAAAAUCAGAAAUGUAUCUAUAGAUACAAACAAAUACGUGCUUUAACUGUAUGUAGAGACAGAGACAGACAGAGGAGAGAGAGUGUGUGUGUGUGUGUGUGUGGUGGUGGUGCGUGGGUGGGGUUGGGGGGGUUGGGGGUUUACCAUAUCUGAGAAGCCAGCAACUUUGUGCCAGAGUAGAGGAUUCGUUUUUCUUCAGUCUCAAGUUCGAAGCUUCAUGAAUCGGAGAUCUGGAAAUAAAACGUCGUCGUUUCCGUUUCUUAAGCAUUGAUCGCCUUCUCAUUAUAAACGGCACCGUUUUGGAUACUGAACACUUUCC